rnacentral:tRNA from 2 species
AGAAGUUGCAGGAUCGAGGCCUGUCUAUCUAG